AGUUCUGGGGGUCAUCCUAGCCUACAGAUAGUGCCCAGGCUGGACUUGAACUCCUUGCUGGGCUUAAGUGAUCCUCCUGCCUCAGCCUCCUGAAUAGGUAGGAUUGCAAGUGUCAGUUGCUUUACUCAACCAGAAAUGUUUUUAAUAAUGGUGAAUGAUAAAAAAUGUUUAUAGAUCAUUGCUUCUAAAAAGACUAUGUUAGACACACUGUGGUACCCAAAACCAAAUGCUAGCUCCUUUUUAACUCAAAAAUAAUUAGUCAGCUAAUGAUCUAUAUUUUGCUUUACAGUUUAACUUGACAAGAGUAGAAAAAUGUCAUGGUAUAAGACAAUGCAAAAUGUAGGGACAAAGAAGAACACUUCCCCUUUCACCCUCUGAAGGUUUGCUGAAAAUGAACUGAAAAAUGCAGAGCAACAGGAGAAAAGGCUUGCGUUUAUUUUAACAUGCGUACCAUGGGGAAUUGCAGAAGAGUAAUGGCCUAAUAACCCAGCAGGGUCCAGGGACCCUCUCUUCAUAGGGAAGGCGGGGAUGAGAUGUGUAGGAGUACAUGACAAAAGUUCCUCUGAGCUCUGGGGGAGGUGUUGGGAAGGUGAGG
rnacentral:lncRNA from 1 species